AUUGGGUGGAAAUCUGAGAAGCUGA
rnacentral:piRNA from 1 species